CCAUUUGUAAAAUGUUCCCUUUCUUGCCGCUAUGAUUUGUAAGCACUGCUCUACUAUAGAAAGUAGUUCUUUUAUUCUGUGCUCAGCAGCUUUAUUUAUAAUUGUCGAAGCCUAGAAGCAACCAAGACCUCCUUUAGCUGGUGAAUGGAUAAACUUUGAUACAUCCAGACAAUGGAAUAUAACUCAGCACUAAAAAGAAAGUCUUGCUCAAAUAAGUAUCAAUAACCAACCACAUAAAGACAGCAACCUUCAGAGCCUCAAAAAGAUAAACACUGGGGAAUGGAUCUCAAAAUUAUUUCUUCAUAUAUCAAUAAACUGAUUUCUUUCAAUCUUUUUUUUUUUUUUUGUCUUUUGUCUUUUUGUUGUUGUUGUUGU